UAUCCAGUAAGGACAAUAAAGAGUUCCAGAGACUCAGUGACCUUCUUCUCGAAGUCCAGCUUGCCAAAACCGACCCUAAACUACCCAGCCUCAGUUACCUGGACACUGCUCGAGGAGUUAACCCUAUCAUUUACAAGCUUCUGUAUGGCCUACGAGAAAAGUGGAUCCAAAUCGGGUCAUCAUACAAAUGGGAAAACAAGGUUUCCUUUCCCCCGUUCUCCUACUUCUGCGAAUUUGUCAGGAACAUUGCUGACACCAAGAACGAUCCUAGUUUUGCAUUCGGUGAGUUCAGUACUCCCUCACUUAAAGGUGACAACCUACAUGUCAGCUACAGGAACCGUAGAGGUCCCGUGUAUGUUAAGAAGACAGACAUUAUUCCCACUCCCACCUCAGCGCCCGCCUCAAACAAGAGCGACAAGAUUGAAAACCCAAACCGAUAAUGUCCUAUCCACAAGAAGCCACAUGACCUCAAAAAACGUAUCGGCUUUAGGAAGAAGCCCCUACAAGAACGAAAGAAACUCCUAAAGACCUUUGGGGUAUGUUAUAGAUGCUUUGCUUCCACUGAUCACUUCGCCAAGGAAUGCAAAAUCCCUAUCAAGUGCAUAGAGUGCGGUUCCGAUGACCAUGUGCAAGCUCU